UGGGGAAUAUUGGACAAUGGGGGCAACCCUGAUCCAGCAAUGCCGCGUGUGUGAAGAAGGUCUUCGGAUUGUAAAGCACUUUCGACGGGGACGAUGAUGACGGUACCCGUAGAAGAAGCCCCGGCUAACUUCGCGCCAGCAGCCGCGGUAAUACGAAGGGGGCUAGCGUUGCUCGGAAUGACUGGGCGUAAAGGGCGUGUAGGCGGUUUACACAGUCAGAUGUGAAAUCCCCGGGCUUAACCCGGGAGCUGCAUUUGAUACGUGUAGACUAGAGUGUGAGAGAGGGUUGUGGAAUUCCCAGUGUAGAGGUGAAAUUCGUAGAUAUUGGGAAGAACACCGGUGGCGAAGGCGGCAACCUGGCUCAUGACUGACGCUGAGGCGCGAAAAGCGUGGGGAGCAAACAGGAUUAGAUACCCUGGUAGUCCACGCUGUAAAACGAUGUGUGCUAGAUGUUGGGUAACUUUGUUAU
rnacentral:rRNA from 1 species